rnacentral:rRNA from 1 species
CGGAGGGUGCAAGCGUUAUCCGGAUUUACUGGGUUUAAAGGGUGCGCAGGCGGAUAUGUAAGUCAGUGGUGAAAUCUUUGGGCUUAACCCGAAAAUUGCCAUUGAUACUAUAUAUCUUGAAUGCUGUGGAGGUAAGCGGAAUAUGUCAUGUAGCGGUGAAAUGCUUAGAGAUGACAUAGAACACCUAUUGCGAAGGCAGCUUACUACGCAGAUAUUGACGCUCAUGCACGAAAGCGUGGGGAUCAAACAGGAUUAGAUACCCUGGUAGUCCACGCCCUAAACGAUGAUUACUCGACAUACGCGAUACACAGUGUGUGUCUGAGCGAAAGCAUUAAGUAAUCCACCUGGGAAGUACGACCGCAAGGUUG